AACAGAGUGACGCUUUCCCCUGUUCUCCACCCUAGCGACCUCUCUCCGAUGGUGGAGUAGCAGAUCUGGCAGCAACAGUGGACGUCGACUGGUGGUGAGCUCGGACAAUGGCAGUCUCCAUUCCUUUCCGGUGGCCGUAGCAGCGUCGACUUCACCUUCUUUGCAGUAGCGGCAGUUUCUCUCCGCCGGCAAUGGCCUUCCUCUUGGUGGCAUGGACUGGUCCCCGACGAGAAGAACCCGUAGGUUUCUCGUUAAAGUAGUUAGCUCGGGAGUGAGCUCAAGAAUCGAAUGCUUGGCUUUGGAAGCUUAGCUUGAGGAUAUGAAAUUA